UUGGUUUAUCUAAAACCACCCAUCUUAUGUUACAUAGGAUAAAUACCAUGUUUGAACAAAGGACGGGGAGAAACAACAUAUUAACAGAUUGGGCCGUUGUUCUCCAGAUAUCUGCAGAUGUCUGUAAAUUGAUACUGUGAUCUUUGAUACAAUAAACCUUUAUAAUCAAAGUACAGCGUCAGCGGAAUUCUUAUCAUCACAGCAUAAUUAGCAUAGUUUUCUCGACACCACAGUUUGUGUGUAAGCAUGUGACUUGCUUAGAAGUCUGGAUUGGGUGUGUGUGUGUCCACAGAGUGCCUGUAUUAUCCUGGACCUGGAGAGGUACCUGCCCAUGUGUCUGAAAGAGAAACUGAGCUCAGGAGAGGUGCAGACGAUGGGACCGUCGGCUGGAGAUGAAAGUCACAUGUUUUUCAGAGUUGAACAAGUACAUUGGGAAAAAUGGCACACAGACCUGGGUAUUGUCAAGGAGGAUCCUGGUAACAUAAUCAGACCACGCCCUCAUGUGCCAUCAGACCACACCCUCACAGGGAGAUGGCGAGCUGGUCCUAUCCUGAAAAGGUUUCGCUUGUCCACUCGCCGCAGCUCCAAAUCCAUGAGCUCUGAAGUCAUCCUACCUAACCUCACACCCUAGACGGUGUUCUCUGACGUGUGUGCAUUGGUGUCUGUCAAAUCUUAGUUAGCACACCAACCAUAUACGACUCAUGGAUAUUAUUUCUAGACUGUCAACAAAUUGAAUUUGUUGAUCGGGACAAGUCUCUGAAUGUCCUUGAGUGGCCCAG